rnacentral:lncRNA from 1 species
AAGACGUGCAAAGCCUUGCUAAACAGGACCCAUGGGGGAGAGAUUUGAAGAAGCCAUCAGGGUUUUGACUAGAAGGCAGGGGUCCUCAAAGCUGUGAAAGUCUGAUCUAUCAGAGGUGGCUGCCAAGCUGUGCUUUCUUCUGCAGAUGGCAAAAGAAAAAGAUGUGAAACAAGACAUGUUUAAAUGGAAGAGAGAGGAAUGAGAGAGGAAGGCAAGAAUACAAAUAUUUAAGAAAGCUUUAUUUUCCUGAAGCAAAGAAUGACACUUGAAACCGAGGGAAUCUCAAUGUCCACCUUGCAUUUCCAUGACCAGCAAGAGAGGGGAACCCCUACAGGAGCUACAAGCCAUCAGGCUCAGGAAGGAAGAAGGACAACAUCCGUGCAUAUCCAAAUCUGAGUAGCGUCCAGGAGGACUCCUCUCAAGCCCAGCCAUGAUUGUGCCUUGCUCAGCUCAGAAGACCCAGAGGCCCCCCCAUCCAGAUGAGUUCAGUGACAGCAUCUUUACCCACACAACAUGGCCUGACUUUCCCUCUUGGCCUUCCCUGCUGCUGCCCCUGCCUGCAUCCAGCACUCCAGCCCACCUUUCUGGUUCCAGCUCCCUGAACAUUUUCAAGGCUUGCCUGUCUCUGUGCUUUCCUUCGUGCCGGGUCCUCAGUCUGAAAGAAUCCUCCCCACCCCUUAGCCUAUCCACAGAGUUUUCCAAACCCAGUCAUAUGCCACCUUCACCAUGCAGUCCUUUCCUUUUCGUUUUAGUUGCAAAAGGAGUGAAUUUUAUUGUUUAAAAAAUGCAGUCAAACUUGGAAAGUAUAAAGUAAAAAGUUUCUCUAUGCCGCACUUCCCACUGUGACUAUUGAAAACAACAAACUGGUACCAAGGUACCAAGUUAUAAUAGCUGUGAUCUUGUUAUCAGUUUGGUGGGUACCUAAAGCCCUCUGAUACCCCCUUCUAGAUCACUGAAUAAGAUUUCUCCAACCUCUGAACUUCCCUAGCAUUUGGUACCCCGUUAUGAUGUUUUACCUUGUUCUGCAUUGUGUUAUAGUUAUAUCUAUACUUACCUUAAUUGAUCCCCACACUUCAGUCUUUGCUGACUCAAUUGAUUUGAGGGUCUAUAUUUCCCUGUCACAGAGCUUAGGACAAUUGGCUGCACAUUUGGUUUAGUCCAUCAAACCUUUAUGAACACGUGUUCUGGGCCCUAUUGACCUAGGGGCCAAGGAUACAGAAACAAAUAAAACACAGCCCAGCCUUAAAGGAACCUAAAGUUUAGGUGACCUUUCUUUCCCACCAAAAAACAAAAAGGCAAACAAAAAGUUCGCAGAACUGUUAGACAGUAACAACACAGAAGCAGCAGAUCCUGAAUCUGUGCAGGUAGCACUCAUUUGAACUAAUAAUUGCUUUAGAAAUAUUUGGCUGGGCACAGUGGCUCACGCCUGUAAUCCCAGCACUUUGGGAGGGUG